AUUAAGACUCCAAUAUCCCCAAUUAUGAAUUAUAAAUCAAUUAUUCAACUAUUCCAAUUAUUAUGUCUACUAAAUUGUUAACAGGAAUUCUCAAAUGCCAAAAGCCUUCUCUCGAGUGAUCAAUUACCUUCUAUUUAACCCAGAUUAAUUUUGCUAUAUCUCUAUGCAAAACAAUUGAAUUAAACUCGCUACAAUCCCAAUUCCUUAUGUGUUACAUGNN
rnacentral:lncRNA from 1 species